rnacentral:tRNA from 1 species
UCCGUUGUAGUCUAGUUUGUUAGGAUACCCGGCUCUCACCCGAGAGACUCGGGUUCAAGUCCCGGCAAUGGAA